GAACGCACAUUGCGCCCCCUGGUAUUCCGGGGGGCAUGCCUGUCCGAGCGUCAUGAAACCUCCUCGGGCCUUGGUCGCCUGACGGCCAAGGUCCGGUCUUGGGUCCGAGGGGACCGUCAAUGGGACCCUCUUCCCGCAAUCCAGUGGCGGACGUGCCACGGGCCAGUAGCGUGAUGAGCACCUCAAACGCGACUCCCGCCGGCAAGGUCCUGCCAGAACCCCCUCCCAGGGAAUAAAUCUCCAGUUUGACCUCGGAUCAGGUAGGGAUACCCGCUGAACUUAAG
rnacentral:misc_RNA from 1 species